rnacentral:rRNA from 1 species
UGAUGCAGCCAUGCCGCGUGUAUGAAGAAGGCCUUCGGGUUGUAAAGUACUUUCAGCGGGGAGGAAGGUGUUGCGGUUAAUAACCGCAGCAAUUGACGUUACCCGCAGAAGAAGCACCGGCUAACUCCGUGCCAGCAGCCGCGGUAAUACGGAGGGUGCAAGCGUUAAUCGGAAUUACUGGGCGUAAAGCGCACGCAGGCGGUCUGUCAAGUCGGAUGUGAAAUCCCCGGGCUCAACCUGGGAACUGCAUUCGAAACUGGCAGGCUUGAGUCUUGUAGAGGGGGGUAGAAUUCCAGGUGUAGCGGUGAAAUGCGUAGAGAUCUGGAGGAAUACCGGUGGCGAAGGCGGCCCCCUGGACAAAGACUGACGCUCAG